AGAACCCAUUUACAAAGCCGAGUAAGUGAACCACAUCUCCCAUCAUGCACUACUGGAAAUAACUACGACUACAGCCCCCAGAAUGCAACGCGAAUCAGGAAGCAAAGUGCAAUAGCGCUUCCAUUCAAAAGUUUGUCCCGUCAUCUCAGACAAGUAAACUUAAGCAUUAAUCGGAGGAUUAAAACAACGCACUAGCCAAGCGACCACAGUGACAAAGUCAUUAACUUCUGACCAGUUGAAAAACAGCAGCUGACGAUCAAGCAGUUAACAACAAACCAGCGAGAGAAUAUUAAACCCAGCACCUUACCGGUGAUGUGCGUCGCUCUUCCAGCAUGCAAUUGGAUUUUUGUCUCUGUGCGUGCUCGCUCCCGUUUAUCAACACAUUUCACGGAAUAUUACCAGCCAACGGCAAGCCAAAACACCAAACCAGCCCUGCGAUGACCUGGCGACUUGUCCAGGGUGUACCCCAUCUCUCACCCAUAGUCAGCUGGGAUAGGCUCCAGCUUGCAUGCGACCCUGUACAGGAUAAGCGGAUAAUGGAUGGAUGGAUUAUCCCACUCAGGGGGGAAAAAAAAAACUUAUAUGGAACCACAGACAUACCUAAGAGUCAACAAUGCCGAAGCACAACUACACGGCAAGUACACUUAAACAUAAGGCACAAAUAUUUUAAUACUUUAUUACACUUUUUUUUAAAGUAUAUAUUGAUCAAAAGUAUAAUUAUAAGCUUAAUAUACUUAGACUUUUCUAUGUACUUUUCAGUAUAAGCCAAGUAUACUUAUGUAUAACUUUAUUAAGUAUAUCUCUGAUAAGUAAAUAAAAACUAAACUGAAAGCAUACGCUCUUAUUUUUAGUUUAAAAUAAGUAUAUUAGAAGCACACUUGAAUAACCUUCUUUCUUUUUGUAAGCGUCAGCUGUUCCCCUCCCUUUUGUAUUUCAUCUUGUGGGUGUGUCUGGGUGUGUGUGGGUGUGGCUCUCCUGCUUUAGCCAAUCAACUCCUGCUGCCAAUCUGCAUGCACACCUGCAAUCCAUCCAGCAAUCCAGCUCCAGCAGUCUGGUCUGCACUCGGUAGUCUACUUGUUUGAUCCACUGUCUUGCUGUUACCUGUCUGCCAACCACCCCCAGUCUGCCUGCUCUGCCUGUCUGCUCAGAUCCCCUGGAAAACUUCUGAUCUUCUGCUUGCUUUUGUUUAAUAAAUCAACCCUACCUGCUGAA